ACAAGCACUUAAAUGGUCAUGAAACCAUUUUGCUUUCAUUUUCUCUCAUUCCCGUAAGGUUCUCUCUCUCGUCCAGAAGCUUUCUUCUUUUUUUCUUUUUUUGGUUUCAAUCUUCAUCUCUUGAUUUCUCCUUCUAUACUUAGUGUUUUUGGGAGCCGUUUGCGGCUAUUCGAAGCCCACGAUGAGAUCAACACGUUGAUAGGAUCAAUUCUUUGAUUGGUGCACUAUAGGAGAUUCGAAAUCCUAGAGUUUGAGGUGAAGAAAUUGGGGGUUUUGCUUAAAAGUGAGAACGGGAAAGAAGUGGCGGAUGACAUUCUGGCACCGACUUAGUAUAGAUUAGGAGCUCCUUUUUUUGUUUUUGUACUUAGGUCUCACUAUUUUUGUAAGACUAAGCAUAAUAUAUUUUGUACGACGACUUAUAGACUUUUCAUAUUUUAAUUACACCUAUGGGCUGUAACUUUUGUUUAAGC